GCGGCCAGGCCGGGCACUCUAGAGAGACUGCCGGGGAUAACCCGGAGGAAGGCGGGGAUGACGUCAAAUCAUCAUGCCCCUUAUGAUUUGGGCUACACACGUGCUACAAUGGCGUAAACAAAGGGAAGCGACAGGGUGACCUUAAACAAAUCCCAAAAAUAACGUCCCAGUUCGGAUUGUAGUCUGCAACUCGACUACAUGAAGCUGGAAUCGCUAGUAAUCGCAGAUCAGAAUGCUGCGGUGAAUACGUUCCCGGGUCUUGUACACACCGCCCGUCACACCAUGGAAGUCGGAAAUGCCCGAAGUCAGUGACCCAACCGUAAGGAGGGAGCUGCCGAAGGUGGAGCCGAUAACUGGGGUGAAGGCGUAACAAGGUA
rnacentral:rRNA from 1 species